GACGAACGCUGGCGGCGUGCCUAACACAUGCAAGUCGAACGAGAAGUUCGGGUCUUUGGGCGCUCGGCUGCGUAAGGCGUGGGAACCUGCACUUAGGUUCGGAAUAACUACCCGAAAGGGAUGCUAAUACCAGAUAAUGUCUUAGGCCCAACGACUUAUCGCGUCUGGAUGGGCGCGCGUUGGAUUAGGUGGUUGGUAGGGUAAUAGCCUACCACGGCGACGAUGCAUAGCUGGUCUGAGAGGAUGAUUAGCAACACUGGGAGUAAGACACGGCCCAGAAUCCUACGCGAGGGAGCAGAGGAUAAUAUAGGACAAGGGGGGGAGGCCUGAUCCAGCAAUGCCGGGUAAGUGAUGAAGGCCGUAGGGUUGUAAAGUUCUUUUACCCGGGAUGAUAAUGACGGUACCGGGUGAAUAAGCUCCGGCUAACUACGUG
rnacentral:rRNA from 1 species